CCCUUAGAUGUUCUGGGCCGCACACGCGCUACACUGAAGGAGGCAGCGUGUACUCCUGGAUCGAAAGAUUUGGGUAACCCGCGAAUCUCCUUCGUGCUAGGGAUUGAGGUUUGCAAUUAUCCUUCAUGAACGAGGAAUUCCCAGUAAGUGCAAGUCAUAAGCUUGCGCUGACUACGUCCCUGCCCUUUGUACACACCGCCCGUCGCUACUACCGAUUGAAUGGUCCGGUGAAGACUCGGGAUCGUGGCUUAGUUGCUUAAUUGUGAUUAGACCGUGAGAACCUGUCUAAACCUUAUCAUUUAGAGGAAGGUGAAGUCGUAACA
rnacentral:rRNA from 1 species